rnacentral:piRNA from 1 species
UGCAAAGUUUAAGGUUGUCUUUUGCACACAG